GACGUAGGUGGCGAACGUUAUCCGGAAUUAUUGGGCGUAAAGGGUGCGUAGAUGGCUUGAUAAGUUAGCAGUGGGAAAUCGAGGCUCAACCUCGUGGAAGCUGGUAAUACUGUCAGGCUCGAGUGCAGGAGAGGUUAACGGAGCUCCAUGUGGAGCGGUAAAAUGUGUAGAUAUAUGGAAGAACACCAAUAACGGCGAAGGCAGUUAACUAUUCUGUUACUGACAUUGAGGCACGAAAGCGUGGGGAGCAAAACGG
rnacentral:rRNA from 1 species